rfam:Rhizoclosmatium globosum strain JEL800 BCR33scaffold_45, whole genome shotgun sequence.
GCUCGGUUGGCUCAGUUGGCAGUAGCGUACGGCUGUUAACCGUAAGGUCACUGGUUCGACCCCAGUACCGAGCG